rnacentral:misc_RNA from 1 species
UGGCAAAAAAGGAUCCAUAUAGCCACUCCAACUACUUUGGGAUUUAGGCUUUGUUGUUGUUGUUGUUGGGUACUUGGGUUAGUAUUCAAUAAUGGGCCACUGGGAAUUUGAUAGCUGAUUUUAGGAUCAGGUAUUAAGAGUGGCCUCAGAUUUUUUGGAGCAUGGCUAGCGUUUCCAUGGAAGAAACUUUAACUUCAAUGGAGACGCUGUCAUUUUGAUUCCUAGAUAUGUAAGGGAGGGACACUCAAGAAGCUAAAAGAUGUUUGGAUGACCUUUCCCUUCAGACCAAAAAGGAAGGAGAAAUUGAUAGGUUGGGAUGUUCUCCUCUAGGACGGGUUAAGGUGAAUGCUGA